UGCACGCCCUCCCGCUCCCUUCACCCCGUCCCCCGCUUCUUCUUUUCCAUCCGUACGGAGAAGCUUCUCUCGAAGGGCGUACGGAGAAGCUUCUGGAGUCUUGAGUCAGACGACCGACCGGAGAAGUGCUCUCGGCGGCGGCGACGCAGCUGAAAUAUGAGCAGGUAGCGUAGCAACUCUGUCUAUGUGGGGAACCUCCCCAGCGACAUCAGGGAGAGCCGGAGAGGGAGGUCGAUGACCUCUUCUACAGGUUUGGGGACAUCAUCCGUAUAGAGAUAAAGACUAAAGAUCAAUCCUCUUGCUACGCUUUCAUUGAGUUCAAACGUGAGCGCGAUGCUGCGGCGGCAGUCCAUGAGCGACAGGGCUACAAGUUUGACGGUUACCGACUAAAGGUUGAAUUUGCCCGUGGUAGGAUAGGCAGUACUUCAACCGCAAGGAACUUUUGCAUGGGACCUUCACAUGUUGGUGUAUCUUAUCAUCCCGAGUUCCAAGUGCUUGUCACUCAACUCCCCUCAUCAACAUCAGCUGAAGAAUUAAACGUCUGCAGCAUGAUCACUUUUGUUCAAUCUCCAUUUUGUUUUCACCUCUGAAGCUGAAUGACUGUUUAUCAGCUCCACAUGGAACAAGCAGCGGAUGUGUCAUUCUCAGAAGUGCAUCACGAGACAAUUGGGGUGCUUGUCUAUUAUUUGAACUCGGUGCGAUGUCCAAAGCAUUUUUCGUUUACACGAGGAAGUUCUUGUCUGUAUCACUCUUUUUCCCUUUCUUUCUAUGAAGUUUUGGCCUUGCGUGCUGUGUUGCUGCUUCAAUUGUUAUUUGGUAACAUCCAUCAUUGUUUGCUACAGGAACGGUUGGAAUUGUGGAAUAUAAAGAGAAUGAGGACAGAAAAUUUUCGUAUCACAUUGCAGACCUUGAAAUUGUAUUUGUCACAUUUGAUCCACCGCUCACUAAGGCAUUUAUGUUCUGUGAUGCCGAUGGUAGUUGUGCCUGCCUAUUAUUCGAACUGGGUGCAAUUAUCAUCAGCAAUUUGUUUACAUGAGGAAGUUCUUGCACUAUAGGAAUUGUUGAAUAUAAAGACAAGGAGGGUAUGGAGGAUGCUGCACAGAAACUCCAUUUCUCUGAGUUUAUAAAUCAAUAUUGGCGUGGCUACAUAAAUGUAAAGCAGCACAAUGGUGAAUAUAGCCCUCCCUACCCAAGAGCUGCAAGCCCGAGUCCAAGUCCAAGUCCAAGCACAAGCCCAAGGCAUGACCAUGGCUACCCCAGGCACAGAAGCAAGUCCCCCAGGGCCAGGAAUGGUUCAGCUUCAAGGUUCCGAUUAAGAUCAAACUCUCCUUCGGCAUCAAGAUCCAAUAAUCAGAGCUGAAGCGGAGGUUCACACAUUCGAUACAUUUCAGAAUCUUUGGACCGGCUUUGAGGAUGAACCGAUGAAGUACAAAUGUGAGCCUACACCUGACAAACAACAUAAAUACCUGCAUGUUUUUGGCGCGUCACUUUUUCCUGCUACAUGUCGUUCUACCUCUACACCUGACAAUUGACAACAACACCUGCUACUUAUCGUUCUACCUCCUAUUACAUUGUGCGGCUGCAUGCACUGCCCUCCCCCGAGAAAUGAUGUUAGGGUAUGUUUGGUCUAUACAACUAAAUCGGUCUCAAACUAUUCUGAAUUCAACUCCAUGUGAAUGGAAUUUGGCGGCAAUUGCAAGUC